rnacentral:rRNA from 1 species
UAGGGAAUCUUCCACAAUGGGCGAAAGCCUGAUAGAGCAACGCCGCGUGUGUGAUGAAGGGUUUCGGCUACGUAAAACACUGUUGUAAGAGAAGAAUGACAUUGAGAGUAACUGUUCAAUGUGUGACGGUAUCUUACCAGAAAGGAACGGCUAAAUACGUGCCAC